rnacentral:rRNA from 1 species
CGAGUUAUCUGAACCUUCGGGGAACGAUAACGGCGUCGAGCGGCGGACGGGUGAGUAAUGCCUAGGAAAUUGCCCUGAUGUGGGGGAUAACCAUUGGAAACGAUGGCUAAUACCGCAUAAUACCUACGGGUCAAAGAGGGGGACCUUCGGGCCUCUCGCGUCAGGAUAUGCCUAGGUGGGAUUAGCUAGUUGGUGAGGUAAUGGCUCACCAAGGCGACGAUCCCUAGCUGGUCUGAGAGGAUGAUCAGCCACACUGGAACUGAGACACGGUCCAGACUCCUACGGGAGGCAGCAGUGGGGAAUAUUGCACAAUGGGCGCAAGCCUGAUGCAGCCAUGCCGCGUGUGUGAAGAAGGCCUUCGGGUUGUAAAGCACUUUCAGUCGUGAGGAAGGUAGUGUAGUUAAUAGCUGCAUUAUUUGACGUUAGCGACAGAAGAAGCACCGGCUAACUCCGUGCCAGCAGCCGCGGUAAUACGGAGGGUGCGAGCGUUAAUCGGAAUUACUGGGCGUAAAGCGCAUGCAGGUGGUUUGUUAAGUCAGAUGUGAAAGCCCGGGGCUCAACCUCGGAAUAGCAUUUGAAACUGGCAGACUAGAGUACUGUAGAGGGGGGUAGAAUUUCAGGUGUAGCGGUGAAAUGCGUAGAGAUCUGAAGGAAUACCGGUGGCGAAGGCGGCCCCCUGGACAGAUACUGACACUCAGAUGCGAAAGCGUGGGGAGCAAACAGGAUUAGAUACCCUGGUAGUCCACGCCGUAAACGAUGUCUACUUGGAGGUUGUGGCCUUGAGCCGUGGCUUUCGGAGCUAACGCGUUAAGUAGACCGCCUGGGGAGUACGGUCGCAAGAUUAAAACUCAAAUGAAUUGACGGGGGCCCGCACAAGCGGUGGAGCAUGUGGUUUAAUUCGAUGCAACGCGAAGAACCUUACCUACUCUUGACAUCCAGAGAACUUUCCAGAGAUGGAUU